UACGGGGGGGCAAGCGUUGUUCGGAAUUACUGGGCGUAAAGGGCGCGUAGGCGGCCUGCUAAGUCGAACGUGAAAUCCCUGGGCUCAACCCAGGAACUGCGUCCGAUACUGGUUGGCUUGAAUCCGGGAGAGGGAUGUGGAAUUCCAGGUGUAGCGGUGAAAUGCGCAGAUAUCAGGAGGAACACCGGUGGCGAAGGCGGGUCUCUGGGCAGUAACUGACGCUGAGGAGCGAAAGCGUGGGGAGCGAACAGG
rnacentral:rRNA from 1 species